rnacentral:rRNA from 1 species
GAUGAACGCUGGCGGCGUGCCUAAUACAUGCAAGUCGAGCGAACGGACGAGAAGCUUGCUUCUCUGAUGUUAGCGGCGGACGGGUGAGUAAAACGUGGAUAACCUACCUAUAAGACUGGGAUAACUUCGGGAAACCGGAGCUAAUACCGGAUAAUAUUUUGAACCGCAUGGUUCAAAAGUGAAAGACGGUCUUGCUGUCACUUAUAGAUGGAUCCGCGCUGCAUUAGCUAGUUGGUAAGGUAACGGCUUACCAAGGCAACGAUGCAUGGCCGACCUGAGAGGGUGAUCGGCCACACGGGAACGGAGACACGGUCCAGACUCCUACGGGAGGCAGCAGUAGGGAAUCUUCCGCAAUGGGCGAAAGCCUGACGGAGCAACGCCGCGUGAGUGAUGAAGGUCUUCGGAUCGUAAAACUCUGUUAUUAGGGAAGAACAUAUGUGUAAGUAACUGUGCACAUCUUGACGGUACCUAAUCAGAAAGCCACGGCUAACUACGUG